GACGAACGCUGGCGGCGUGCUUAACACAUGCAAGUCGAACGCAUCCUUCGGGGUGAGUGGCAGACGGGUGAGUAACGCGUGGGAACGUGCCCUUCAGUUCGGGAUAACCCAGGGAAACGUGGGCUAAUACCGGAUACGUGCGCGAGCAGAAAGAUCUAUCGCUGAAGGAGCGGCCCGCGUCUGAAUAGCUAGGUGGUGGGGUAAUGGCCCACCAAGGCGACGAUCAGUAGCUGGUCUGAGAGGAUGAUCAGCCACAUUGGGAUUGAGACACGGCCCAAACUCCUACGGGAGGCAGCAGUGGGGAAUAUUGGACAAUGGGCGCAAGCCUGAUCCAGCCAUGCCGCGUGAGUGAUGAAGGCCUUAGGGUUGUAAAGCUCUUUCGUCCGGGACGAUAAUGACGGUACCGGAAGAAGAAGCCCCGGCUAACUUCGUGCCAGCCGCCGCCGUAA
rnacentral:rRNA from 1 species